AUUGAACGCUGGCGGCAUGCCUUACACAUGCAAGUCGAACGGCAGCGGGGGAGAAGCUUGCUUUUCCUGCCGGCGAGUGGCGAACGGGUGAGUAAUACAUCGGAACGUGCCCUGUAGUGGGGGAUAACUAGUCGAAAGAUUAGCUAAUGCCGCAUACGACCUGAGGGUGAAAGUGGGGGACCGCAAGGCCUCAUGCUAUAGGAGCGGCCGAUGUCUGAUUAGCUAGUUGGUGGGGUAAAGGCCUACCAAGGCGACGAUCAGUAGCUGGUCUGAGAGGACGAUCAGCCACACUGGGACUGGGACACGGCCCAGACUCCUACGGGAGGCAGCAGUGGGGAAUUUUGGACAAUGGGCGUAAGCCUGAUCCAGCAAUGCCGCGUGUGUGAAGAAGGCCUUCGGGUUGCAAAGCACUUUUGUCCGGAAAGAAAUGGCUCUGGUUAAUACCUGGGGUCGAUGACGGUACCGGAAGAAUAAGGACCGGCUAACUACGUGCCAGCCGCCGCCGUAA
rnacentral:rRNA from 1 species